rnacentral:rRNA from 1 species
GACGUAGGGCGCGAGCGUUGUCCGGAUUUAUUGGGCGUAAAGAGCUCGUAGGCGGCUUGUCGCGUCGAAUGUGAAAACCCGGGGCUCAACCCCGGGCCUGCAUUCGAUACGGGCAGACUAGAGUUCGGUAGGGGAGUCUGGAAUUCCUGGUGUAGCGGUGAAAUGCGCAGAUAUCAGGAGGAACACCGGUGGCGAAGGCGGGUCUCUGGGCCGAUAUUGACGCUGAGGAGCGAAAGCGUGGGGAGCGAACAGG